UACGGGGGGGGCAAGCGUUGUUCGGAAUUAUUGGGCGUAAAGAGCUCGUAGGCGGCUUGUUGCGUCAGCUGUGAAAACCCGCAGCUCAACUGUGGGCUUGCAGCUGAUACGGGCAGGCUUGAGUUCGGUAGGGGAGACUGGAAUUCCUGGUGUAGCGGUGAAAUGCGCAGAUAUCAGGAGGAACACCGGUGGCGAAGGCGGGUCUCUGGACAGUUCCUGACGCUGAGGCACGAAGGCCAGGGGAGCAAACGGG
rnacentral:rRNA from 1 species